AUGCACGCUGGCGGCGUGCCUCAUCCCUGCAAGUCGAGCGAACGGACGAGAAGCUUGCUUCUCUGAUGUUAGCGGCGGACGGGUGAGUAACACGUGGAUAACCUACCUAUAAGACUGGGAUAACUUCGGGAAACCGGAGCUAAUACCGGAUAAUAUUUUGAACCGCAUGGUUCAAAAGUGAAAGACGGUCUUGCUGUCACUUAUAGAUGGAUCCGCGCUGCAUUAGCUAGUUGGUAAGGUAACGGCUUACCAAGGCAACGAUGCAUAGCCGACCUGAGGGGGUGAUCGGCCACACUGGAACUGAGACACGGUCCAGACUCCUACGGGAGGCAGCAGUAGGGAAUCUUCCGCAAUGGGCGAAAGCCUGACGGAGCAACGCCGCGUGAGUGAUGAAGGUCUUCGGAUCGUAAAACUCUGUUAUUAGGGAAGAACAUAUGUGUAAGUAACUGUGCACAUCUUGACGGUACCUAAUCAGAAAGCCACGGCUAACUACGUG
rnacentral:rRNA from 1 species